CCUACGGGUGGCAGCAGUGAGGAAUAUUGGUCAAUGGCCGGAAGGCUGAACCAGCCAAGCCGCGUGAAGGACGAAGGUGCCAAGCAUUGUAAACUUCUUUUGUCAAGGGACAAAAUAAGGCUCGAGAGCCUGACCGAGGGUACUUGAAGAAAAAGCAUCGGCUAACUCCGUGCCAGCAGCCGCGGUAAUACGGAGGGGGCAAGCGUUAUCCGGAUUUACUGGGUGUAAAGGGAGCGCAGACGGCUGUGCAAGUCUGGAGUGAAAGGCGGGGGCCCAACCCCCGGACUGCUCUGGAAACUGUAAAGCUGGAGUGCAGGAGAGGUAAGCGGAAUUCCUAGUGUAGCGGUGAAAUGCGUAGAUAUUAGGAGGAACACCAGUGGCGAAGGCGGCUUACUGGACUGCAACUGACGUUGAGGCUCGAAAGCGUGGGGAGCAAACAGGAUUAGAUACCCGGGUAGUC
rnacentral:rRNA from 1 species